GAUGAAGAACGUAGUGAAAUGCGAUAAGUAAUGUGAAUUGCAGAAUUCAGUGAAUCAUCGAAUCUUUGAACGCACCUUGCACCCUUUGGCAUUCCGAAGGGUAUGCUCGUUUGAGUGUCAUUGUACUCUCACACUUCCAAUCUUUGGAUUGGGAGCAGUGGACUUGGGUGUUGCUGCUUACUGUGGCUCACCUCAAAUCGAUUCGUGCACCUCUUGGUUGGACAUAGUACGGCGUGAUAAGUGUCUUCGCCGGCACCUCAGUAGAGGGUGGCUGAUCAGGAGCUCUGUGCUUCAAACCGUCCUCGGACAACAACUGACAACUUGACCUCAAAUCGAGUAGGACUACCCGCUGAACUUAAGCAUAUCAAAAGCGGAGGA
rnacentral:misc_RNA from 1 species